GGGGGCCCGCACAAGCGGCGGAGCAUGCGGAUUAAUUCGAUGCAACGCGAAGAACCUUACCAAGGCUUGACAUGGGCCGGACCGGGCUGGAAACAGUCCUUCCCUUCGGGGCCGGUUCACAGGUGGUGCAUGGUUGUCGUCAGCUCGUGUCGUGAGAUGUUGGGUUAAGUCCCGCAACGAGCGCAACCCUCGUUCCAUGUUGCCAGCGCGUAAUGGCGGGGACUCAUGGGAGACUGCCGGGGUCAACUCGGAGGAAGGUGGGGACGACGUCAAAUCAUCAUGCCCCUUAUGUCUUGGGCUUCACGCAUGCUACAAUGGCCGGUACAAUGGGUUGCGAUACUGUGAGGUGGAGCUAAUCCCAAAAAGCCGGUCUCAGUUCGGAUUGGGGUCUGCAACUCGACCCCAUGAAGUCGGAGUCGCUAGUAAUCGCAGAUCAGCAACGCUGCGGUGAAUACGUUCCCGGGCCUUGUACACACCGCCCGUCAAGUCACGAAAGUUGGUAACACCCGAAGCCGGUGGCCUAACCCCUUGUGGGAGGGAGCCGUCGAAGGUGGGACCGGCGAUUGGGACUAAGUCGUAACAAGGUAGCC
rnacentral:rRNA from 1 species